rnacentral:lncRNA from 1 species
UAAUUCUUGACACGCGGGCGCGGUAAACCUCUCACUCAAAUUUUCAAACGAAAAUCCAGAUCUAACACUCUUUUUCUCCAGAAUUCUCAUCUUCUUCCCCAGAACACCUCAAGAACGCAUGAACAUGGAACUUCCACCAAAAUCAACAAACGAACAUCCGUUGGAACCGUCUCACCACAUGGAAUCCAAAUAUCAUCCUAAUUCAAC